AGGGACAUAGCUCAGGGGCAGAGCAUCUGCCUUGCCUGCCGAAGGUCCCUGUUUCAAUCCCCAGUAUCUUUA